AAAUAAAUUUAAACCCUUCAAUAUGUAUUUCUCUAAGAUAAUCAACAAAAUACAGAGUCUCUGGCUCUCUCUCUGCUCCCAAAUGAUAUCGUCGUCCUCUGGAAGCUCCCUCUUAUGGCGGAGCCGUACACCUGUCCCUGUUCCUCCGCCUCGGUCACCGCCGUCGUUUAAAAAUCUCUCUUAUCCCUUCUCUUCCGCUUUAGGGUUUAUACACAGAACAACAAUUUCCCCUCUUUCUUGUUCAGCUGAAAUCGCCUCGGAUAUUGCCCUGGGGCAGAGCCGGCCUGCCCCUGAUUUCAGUCCGUGGUCUGAGUUCGCUCAUAAUGUGUCUGGCGAAUGGGACGGUUUCGGAGCAGAUUUUACACGCGAAGGACAACCGCUUGAACUACCUGAAUCGGUGGUUCCAGAAGCCUAUAGAGAAUGGGAAGUGAAGGUGUUCGAUUGGCAGACGCAGUGUCCCACUCUUGCCCAGCCUCACGCACACACUUUUCUUUACAAGUCCAUCAAACUCCUCCCCACUGUUGGAUGUGAAGCAGAUGCAGCCACCCGUUACACCAUCGACCACAGGAGCAUCGGGUUAACCGAAUCAUCUGCACUAGCAUUUUCGUACUCUGUCACUGGCUCCUAUGUCGCUGUGUGGCCUUUGCGGAACAACCAGCUAGAGUUGGAGCAUUGUCUGAUCAAUCCAAAUGACAAGCAGUCUCGGGUGAGGAUUUUCCAGGUUGUUAGCUUAGCAGAGACCAACAUGUCCUUCCAGAGUAUCAAAGUUUUCUGUGAGCAGUGGUACGGUCCCUUCAGAGAUGGCGAUCAGCUUGGAGGUUGUGCAAUCCGUAGCUCCGGGUUUGCUUCUACACCUACCACAGCAGCUUCAGUGGUUGCCGGCUCUUGGAGAGUUCUACUUGCUACCACUAGCUUUCACGCCUCCGAUUCCGAUUGUAUUCAACAAGUUACUGGCGAGAAGGUUGUUGAGAUUGUGAGAGAAGAAAAGGAUCUUCUACUGCUUCCGCAAGGGCUGUGGUGCUCUCUCCAAGAACGAAAAGACGACGAUAGAGUGUUUUCAGUAGGAUGGGUGUUUGAGCCAGGCCAUGCUAUCACAUCCAGCUGCGUCUUCUCCAGCGAUUCUAAGCUAAAGGAGGUAACAAUGGGAAGAGAGACCGCUCUGUUAGAUUUCAUUGUAGAGUGCAGAGCCUUUAUUGAUUCAAUCUUUACGGGGAAAGAUCCAUACCAUGUGAACCAUAUUUCUGCAGAGCUUUGUAGCUUUUGCAUAUCUUGGGCCAGCUCUAUCAACAAUGAAGGAUUCACACACACAGAGACGUAGACUGUCAGUUUGGGAAAGAAUUUGAUGGCAUUUACCUAGAAAAACUGAGAAAGGCCUAACCUGUACAUAAUUCAAUGCCUUUCUGCAUCAUAGCUACAAACUCUCCGUAGUCAAUCCUUCCAUCCUGAAACAAGAAGAAGAAAAUGAUCCCUGUAAUCUGCAACCCAGAAGAUAUGCAUGCAUAAGCGCAGGUCUCUCACAUUGUCUUGGUCUACUUCUUUGAUCACAUCUUCGAGAAAUACAUCACUCAUUCCCUGUUCAGCACAUGCAUGCUGUAACUCAUCGAUUGUGAU